CAGAAUAACAAUGGCAUCCACUCAAGAUUUUAUGAAAAUAAAAUUAACUGAUAAAGAUAUUCCCGGGGCAAAAAUAGAUUUAAAUGAUUUUCAGGGCAGUUGUAAUGUCCAACUAAAGAGAUGGUUACAGUGCCGUGGUGUUAAAAUUUCUGGAAACAAACCAGAACUUAUUCAAAGGUGAGUGAGCCGUUAGGAUACGCCCAUUUCUUUUGUUGACAUGUUUUACCUGAGCUACAAAUAGUCAAUCCUUUUAAAUAUUGGAAGGUGAACUUUGUCACCGAGCAAUGAUUGGUAGUUGACAGUUAAAUAACACACCUUUUU
rnacentral:lncRNA from 1 species